GAUGUGGGCAGUAUCAUUAACGUCGUGUUAUCAUCAUCCUGCCGUAUGGUAUUUCAUCAUGAACGCAAGUAGUAAGCCGUAGUAGUUAAGGUGACGUUUUGCUGAUGACUCAGAUCUAUAUCUCCAGGUGCAGAUCCGCUGAGACCCCAACUCUUUUGUUUACUCACCAAUUUUGACCAUGAGCCCUAAGCUUGAGGAACUUGCAAUCUCGUUGAGGAAUGAAAGGAUAUGUGUGAACCAACUGCAAAGUGCCUACCAAGUAUGACAUCUUCACCGUCAGCUUGACUGGAUUUGGAGUCACCUGGGAGACACACUCCUGUAUCUUCACUAUUCCAAGAUUUGGGUUUGGUGCUCCUGUAUCUUUACAAAAGGUGGAACAUCUUAAUGUGAGAAAAAAAGCAAAUUCCUCUAGGCAAAACCAUUUGGCUUCUGCCCAUCUCAGAAGCACCUGUGAUGUGAUGGAAGCCUUAGAGACCCCCAUUUCUCCAAAAACUGUCCUCAGGCUGGACUGAAGCCUGGCAACCUUGGCCCUGCAUCCUCCAGUUAUGAGAUCAGGAAGAACGCUGCUCUGUGCUUCUUCUGGUCUGAGCUGUGAGAUGCCAAGACAGGCACAAACAUGCCCCAACGCAGGGAAGAGACUGACCCAACCAGACCUAAGGAAAUUCCUAACCCGGCGAAGUGGAGAAGCAAGAAUGGCCAAGCAUGGAAGAGAAGAGUCAGUGCCGCUAGAAAACCCCUCCCUGACCCCGGCGCCGGCCUUGAGCAUGUGCCUGGAAGAGGAAGGAGAUUCACUCCUCUCUCCUUCUUAGUGCCAACUGGGAUGCCAAAGCCUCUAUUUCAAAGCUGUCCAAAGCUGCCUGCCUGUUGGGAUUCUGGAGUUUGGACCAGCCAGCCUCACCUUCGCUUCAGCACCUGCACAGGGGAACAAUGUUGCUAUUUAAGCCCAAUGUGCUCAAAGCAGACAGAAGUGAUCUUGGUCUCCAUUCUGACUUGAGUUCCACUGUUCUUUGCAUUCUUUCUAUGGCUGGAACCUCCCCAAAUAAUUAAGUUUAACAAAUAGAGGAGCACAGGCCCCCUAAAGCCUGAAUGCUCUGCAUAUGUCACUGCUUAAACUGCAGUUUAGGAAUGGAAAGAUGGCUCAGAGGUUAAGAGCACUGGCUGCUCUUCCAAAGGUCCUGAGUUCAAUUCCCAGCACCCACAUGA